rnacentral:rRNA from 1 species
AUGGCUCCGCCGGCCGCCACCAUCGCCGUCCUCGGCGACGACAUCCUGCAGGAGGUCUUCAUCCUCCUCCCAACCCCCGCCGACCUCCUCCGCGCCGCGCUCGCCUGCCAGCCUUUCCUCCGGGUCGCACGCAGCGCAGCUUUCCUCCGCCGCUUCCGCCGCCGCCACCCCUCAACCUGCCCGGUCGUCCUCGGAUGCCUCCUCUACCGCCCCAGCAAGCGCCGCGGGGCCAGCGCCCCUUACCUUCUGCCCGCCGACCUCCUCGGCGCCACGCGCCGCACUAUCGAGGGAGGUGACUUCGCCCUCUCCUUCCUCCCCCGCCGCGGCCGGCCGGAUGGCCCCGGCACCCCGUGGCGGAUCCUGGACUGCCGCAACGGCAGCCUCCUGUUACGUGACGGGGCUUCCGGAGAGCUCGCCGUCGCCGACCCGUUAACCCGGCGCUGGGUUUCACUCCCCGCGCUCCCCGGUGGGCGCCGCGUAGGGUACGCCCUCGUCCCCGACGACGGCGACUCUUCGGCCUUCAAGGCGGUAUGCAUUUCCCGACGCGCUGGAACCACAGAGCUGCGCGCCUUUCUCCUCUCCUCCGCUGAGCUCCGGUGGGCCGACGUGGGUACCCUCGCGCAGCAGCCCAAUCUCGCUGGAUCCCGCGCGAUGCAAGCGAAACGGUCGCUGUACUGGAAGCUAAUGGGUGGGGGGCACAUGGUGGCGCUCAACACCGCGACGAUGGAGCUCACCGUGCUGGCGCUCCCGCCUUUCUUGCGGGAGCAAACUUUCGACGUCAUUGAGAAGGGGGAGGACGGCGCCGGUAAGCUCUGUGUGCUCACAAUGCGUGGAUUAUGCAUUGAGGUUUGGAUCGGUGAGGACGACGGCGCCGGUGGGCUGACAUGGACGCUGUUGGAGAAGUCGGUGAGAUUCUACGGGGCGAUGGAAGCGAUGAUUCUUUCGGAUCCUUUGGACCAGACUCCACAGGGCGAUGUCAUCGGGGUGGCUGCUGGUGUGGUGUUCUUGCGCAGCAGCAGUUGUCUGCUCUCCAUUCAUCUUGAGACCAUGAAGAUGACGAGGCUGUCCCUGGACGUGAAUUGCCCGUCUCCGCUGAUAUAUCCUUACACGAUAGGGUGGCCGCCAGCGAUCUUGAACCCUACUGAACAAGGUGCUUGA